CAGCAGCCGCGGUAAUACGUAGGUGGCAAGCGUUGUCCGGAAUUAUUGGGCGUAAAGGGCUCGCAGGCGGUUUCUUAAGUCUGAUGUGAAAGCCCCCGGCUCAACCGGGGAGGGUCAUUGGAAACUGGGAAACUUGAGUGCAGAAGAGGAGAGUGGAAUUCCACGUGUAGCGGUGAAAUGCGUAGAGAUGUGGAGGAACACCAGUGGCGAAGGCGACUCUCUGGUCUGUAACUGACGCUGAGGAGCGAAAGCGUGGGGAGCGAACAGGAUUAGAUACCCAGUAGUCCCUGUCUCUUAUACA
rnacentral:rRNA from 1 species